AGAGUUUGUAUUAAAUAUUACAAGUAAACACCUCAUUGAAAUGUGUAGUCUUAUUUUCCGAAUGGGACCCUUUGUACCCAGUCCCUAUGUUUGCUAUCGAUUCUGAUGGGCAACUCCUUGGUUACCGUCAUAUUAAAGCAACCGAUCACUGACACCUCGCCGCACAUUGACUUUUUUCCUGAGAAGUUUCACUGCAUGAUAUUAAUAACCUUUAAAGAUGGGAAACGCAUGUUGUGGUAAAGGUGGAGUCAUGAAAGACGUAAACAAAUUCUGCAAGUGUGGAGGACCCCGCCCACAUUCCGGACAUAGCCGAAAAGGCUCUGGACAUAGCCGAAAAGGCUCUGGACAUAGCCGAAAAGGUUCCGGAAAGUGUCGAGGCAAGGGUCAUGGCCGUAAGCGAAGAGGAUCAGGAUCUUCCAAAGGCUCGCACUGAUCUUACGUAAAACGUAGUUCUAUCUUAUUUGUGGACCGCACCGACUGAAGUACAGUCUUUUUUUAAAUACAUGUACAUGUUUAUCUGUGAUAAUGGUGCUUUUGCAUGUAACAUGUUAUCUAACAGUUUCUGAACUUCACAAGAAAGCCUUCUGGUUUUUGCAAGAUGAUAUGGUGAGACCCCAAGCGCCAGUAUAUUACAAAUGACAGUUACAUAUAUAUUGAACACAGCUCUUCACGUUGGUACAGACUAUCUACAUGUAUUGUACAGUAUUUUUAAAGACUUUACUUGAACUUUUGUAUAUGUUGUAAUUUUAAAUUGUAUUUUUGACUGUUGCACUUAUUAAAAUAUUGAUUUGUA